rnacentral:pre_miRNA from 1 species
GGAACUUAAAGAACGGUCAUCCCUCCUGUGCUUGCUUUAUUUAUGGUGAAUUUUUGAAGUAUGUCCCCUUUUUUAGAAUC